rnacentral:rRNA from 1 species
AUUGAACGCUGGCGGCAGGCCUAACACAUGCAAGUCGAACGAGUGGCGGACGGGUGAGUAAUGUCUGGGAAACUGCCUGAUGGAGGGGGAUAACUACUGGAAACGGUAGCUAAUACCGCAUACCAUCAGAUGUGCCCAGAUGGGAUUAGCUUGUUGGUGGGGUAACGGCUCACCAAGGCGACGAUCCCUAGCUGGUCUGAGAGGAUGACCAGCCACACUGGAACUGAGACACGGUCCAGACGCCUAGGGGAGGCAGCAGUGGGGAAGAUUGCAAAAUGGGCGCAAGCCGGAUGCAGCCAGGAGGAGUGUAUGAAGAAGGCCUGCGGGUUGUAAAGUACUUUCAGCGGGGAGGCGUUACCCGCAGAAGAAGCACCGGCUAACUCCGUGCCAGCAGCCGCGGUAAUUC